GCCAGCUCAGAGAUGGUUUCACUAUUACAGUAACGUGAAUCGUCAUGUCUUCUACCAGGUAACAAGGCUGCCCAGAGUGUGGAAGCUCUGUUUCUACCCAAAUCACCGACACAAACAGGUGAGUCAGGGUCCCAACCCUGUGCUCCAGGCUCCAUUCUGUUGGCAGCAGGUAAGGGUUCACUGGUGCAUUUUGUGAAUUUUUAGUUGGGUUUCAGCAAUGGAUUUUGUUUAUAUUAUGGUCAUCUAGUGCUCUCUGCAAAUGAAUUAAUGGUUUAUAAAUAUUUCUGUCUUCUUUAGACAAAAAGUGACAGAGAAUUGAGUUAGUAUCUCUUUUCUAUUUAUCUUGUUUUUCUCUAAAUGCAACCUGAAAAAUAGCUAUUAGGAAAAUAUUUUCUGAGCCAGUCAGGAGGUAAGAAAACAAAUUCUCUACUAUAUUUACUGCUAAAUACUUCCAUCAUUACACUGUGGUCCUCACUUUCAUUUGGUUAUCUAUGAGUGUAAUGGCAAGUUGAAUCAGUUAGUUCGGUUGAAAAGACCAUCAGACUGUGUUCCCCUUGCACUACGAAAUACGGGUGAUUGUGUCUGGAUUUCAUCCACUAUCUUCUUUGCCAGAGACAGGAAAGAAAACAAAGGGAAGAAACAAGCCCUACCUUUCCCCAACCAACUUCAAGAUGGAACCUACUGCAGAAAAACCACUCGUUCAAAAUGCAGCAUGGUGGAGCUGAGUCCUAAUGGAUACAUCUAAAAAAGUCUUGUACCAAACCUCAGGAAAUAUUGCAGAAAAGAGGAGGUGCAGAACAUUCUUUUGAAGACAUCUAUAACUAUUCAGUAUUCUAAGAGAAGAAUAAGGAAAAGAAGAAGAGAAAGGAGGAGGAGGAGGAGGAGGAGAAGGAGAAGGAGAA